rnacentral:rRNA from 1 species
UCCUCAAGAUUUGUAAAGUUCUUUCAUGGUGAUUAUGAUCUCUCAGGCCAUAUCGGCUGGUUAAUGACCUACUGGCCCAACAACGGGACGAGGGUUUGCCAGGACUGAUCAGGGCGACUUGCCACUCUGAUACUGACACAACUCCUACACUCGUACGGAAUGGAGAAUCUUGGAAUAUGGGGGAAACCAUGAAACUCUGACCCCGCGACACCG